rnacentral:lncRNA from 1 species
AGUAGCUCCUUUUAUUAUCGAGUAUUAUCCUACUGUAUGGAUGUACCCACAUUUUUUCAUCCAUUUACCUGUGGGUGGACAUUUGGGUUGUUUUCAGUUUCGAGGUGUUACGUGUAAAGCUACGAUGAACGUUGUUCACAGUUCUUUGUGUGCAGAAGCGCCUCAGCUUCUCUUUGGGAAACGCCGAGGAGCAGAGCGGCUGGCUCACGCCGCAGGUGAACGUUUCCCUUGGCGAGAAAGCGUCCAACAGUUUUCCGAGCAGUGGUGCCGUUUUACAUUCCCACCGCAGAAACUCGAGGGAUCCCUCCACUGCUCUUGUGACGGCCCUGAACUCAGCCCCCAGGAUCUUCAAGCAAUAAGAGUAUGGCUUUCUAUGACCUACAGAGUGUGGCCCGGGUCAGCCCUCAGGCUAAAAGAGGACUCUUUGCCUGCUUGCGGAAGAAUGCCCACAGAAGCCUCCCGCAGGCCGGGCUGGGCAGGGAAGGCCAGCCUUCCAGAGCUGCAGUCCUUUAGAAAUGCAUCCCAGAGGCAAACGCAGACCCCGGGAGCUGCCUGUCCUACGUGCUGGGCUGGGCUUUCAGUGCCUUCUCCUCAGGAAGCUGCCCCUCUGGGCACGUUUUCGCUGCCUGGUAAUUGGUUCACCCUGCGGGCAGAAGCAGCCAGCCUCACUCUAAGAGGCAGGAAUUUCAAGCAGCUCUCCUGUUGAAGGAAUGUUACUAGCCACCCCAGACAGCAGACUAGGGGAGGAGAGGACAAAGCUAACAGAGUAACAAGUCACUCUCUGGGAGCACAUGCCCUUCUCAGAACCAUGUGUGCAACGUCAUGACUGGUUCUUACGUCCAUUAUCAUCACACUGGACAGAACCCACUCGUUAUUGGCAUCUUUCCACCUGCAUUGAACAAGGAGGCACUUCCUUCUCUCAACCUUCUCCUCUGCUUCCGCUGCGAGAGUAUUACUGGCUUUUUCCAAACGUCAGGCCUCAGCAAGUACACUGAGGGAUACCAUCCUCGUUCACGACGUGUAGCCCCCAAACCUUCCACCUUGACCACAAAGGAAAGGCCAAUCGUGAUUUAUUCUUUGAAGCACACGGCCACUCAGAGGACACUGAGCAAAACGAGGGCUCUGUUGGAAAAGAAGACGGGAGAAGGAUUGUUGAGCACAGUUGACAUCAACUUCACCCGGACAGCCUUCAUUAAACUACUUAGGUAUUACAUGUUUUAAAGUAUUUGUUAACAACGAACAUCAUUAAUUUCACAACCCACUUGUUCUCAAACCUGACUGCACGUAGCGAUCAUCUGGGGACCUUUGGAAAUGCUGGUGCCCGGGUCCCUUCUGCAGAGAUGCUGGUUGAGUUGGUCUGGACCACAGCCUGGGCACUGGGAUUUUUAAAAGCUUGCAGGUGAUUCUAAAAACUGGAAAAUUUGAGAACCAUUGUCAUAGUCCGUCCUAGUUGUGCACAUUCCACGUAGAAGGAGACCUGAAAUUGUGGUUGCCGUUAAAGCCAGUGUCAGCACUUCCAGACCGCCGAUAACUGGUGUGUUUAAUCUGCUGUACCUGCUAUGGUCUACCACGUGUACAAACGAGGUUAAGACUCAGUUUGAGUGUUCAGAAUAAUCAUUUGAGCCCACCUCACCCCUCCCCAACCUAACCAGCGCUAAUUCAGAGAAUACCCGACAUCCCUCUCUAGACCUCCCCUCAUUCUGACCUUGGAACUGUCCAAAAAUACCCCUGGAGCCUACUCAGCCCAAAGGGCCAGGCUUGCUUCUAAACAUCUCAUGGAGAAAGAACUGUGGAACUUGUUCACUCCUCCAGCAGGCCUCAUCUUUCCCUGCCCUUGCCUCUGUUACUGCCACGACAGGGGUGCCUUUCUGGAAGCAAUCAGCAAUAGCUUUUCAGCUAUUAUAAAAACAAUAAAGUUACACUUCACCAGGCACCCACUACGUCUACUUACUCACUCUUUCAAAUCCCUAACUGAGAGAAAAUAUGAAAGUUUUUGUUUGUUUGUUUUUGUGGGGUCUUUUGGUUUUGUUUUUUUAGCUGGUUAGAUGGAACUUGAGCCAGAAAAGCUUCCUUUUAAAAGUAGCUACUGACUUCUUUCCCUGCCUGGGUCUUAAGUGUCCCCUCUCAACGAUCAAACAGGAGGUGAGUAGCCACCUGACAUCUUGGGAGGUAAAUGGCAUUUAUGGUCUUAAAAAAAAUGUUUACUGCUCAUCUCACUGGCCCUUGUUAUGCAGAGGUGAUCCAUAAAGAGUCAAAAAUUUGUAGGGAUGGAGGUGAAGAUGCCUUCUGGGAAGAGAGAGAUAAGAUCUCUUCUAUUUUCAAGUUCAAUGUGGAUCUGAUUGAAGUACACCAGCGGGAAGAGACAUGGAGGACGCUCUCAGGAUAACCCCCAAGGAGGGGUGAGGGCCUGGCUGGUGACCUGGGCUGCAAACCAGGCCUGGAUGUCCCUGCGCAGAGAGCUGGUCCAGUGCAGCAUGUGGCCAACGCUUGAGUGCACCCCCAACUCUCCAGGCAUAAGGGGCUCAACCAAAAUGCUUGUCUUCGGAGCCCCAGCAGAGGGCCCCACCUGGCCCACGUCCAACCCUGAAAGCCGCAGGGAGACGGGCAACCCAGGCCCCAAAGCAGCCCGCCAGAGAACUGUCUAGAUCAGCAGCCACUAACCACACACGGCUUUGAGCUCUUGAAAUGUGG